CGGGGUGUAGCGCAGGUGGUAGCGCGUCCGGUUUGGGACCGGAAGGUCGUGGGUUCGAGUCCCGCCACCCCGA
rnacentral:tRNA from 1 species